GGCUAGGUAGCAAAGUGGUAAUGCAGAAGCCUGCAAAGCUUCUAUGCGCCGGUUCGAUUCCGGCCCUGGCCUCCA
rnacentral:tRNA from 2 species